AUACGGAGGAUCCGAGCGUUAUCCGGAUUUAUUGGGUUUAAAGGGAGCGUAGGCGGACGCUUAAGUCAGUUGUGAAAGUUUGCGGCUCAACCGUAAAAUUGCAGUUGAUACUGGGUGUCUUGAGUACAGUAGAGGCAGGCGGAAUUCGUGGUGUAGCGGUGAAAUGCUUAGAUAUCACGAAGAACUCCGAUUGCGAAGGCAGCCUGCUGGACUGUAACUGACGCUGAUGCUCGAAAGUGUGGGUAUCAAACAGGAUUAGAUACCCUGGUAGUCCACACAGUAAACGAUGAAUACUCGCUGUUUGCGAUAUACAGUAAGCGGCCAAGCGAAAGCGUUAAGUAUUCCACCUGGGGAGUACGCCGGCAACGGUGAAACUCAAAUGAAUUGGCGGGG
rnacentral:rRNA from 1 species